AGGAUCUCACAGUGGAGCAGUGGACUAAAUUUUAAAAUGUGAGUCUACCCUGGAGGACUCUUUGGCACCUGAUUUCCAUCAAAAUUUGCUCCUGGGAAUGUCCUGAAUCAGACCAGCCUUUGCUCCUGACCCCCGGCCACAGAAAACCACUUUCUCUGUGCGACCACACAAAAGGUGCAGUCAGUGUGUGUGUGUGGUACAGUGCAGGGCGAUGGUGAUGCUCCUUUCUUCUUAUGGCUGAAUCCCAGAUGAGGAUGUGUUGAGGACCUGACAGGAGCCGAUUCAUCAUCCCUCACAGGUCAUCCAUCACCAGCAGCAGGCAGAGGAGCAGCGCUGGGCGGGGUGACAGCCCGGGCGCUUAUGGGGAGCACUCUGCUCGGAGCACCCAACUGGGUGCUCAGUCCAGCGUGUGCUUCAGAGAGCGUCCUGUUGUGCAGUGCGGUGAUUAUUUCAGCCUGUGCAGUGUCCACAUGUUGAGGUGAUAGAUUGGUAAUAAAGGGAGGUUAUGAGAUAUCUAUUAAUGCCAUCUCGGGACAAUCUGAAUCAUUCAGUGACAUUAUAAAGGAAUGAGUUUACAGGAAGAGGAUUCAGUUUCAGUCUGUGUUUUUGAUUAUCUAACUUUACUAACUUCUGAUCCAACAAGAUGUGAAGAGAAGAUUUUAGAGGAGGCCUGGAGCGAGAGUUCUGGUUUAUGUUUUUUAAGAGAAAUCAGUGGCUAAUAUAUCAGGCCAGCACUGGAAUUUUAUUUGAUACUGCUCAGUCAUGUGUUCCUCUACAGACAAUAUUUAUCAUAUUAUUUUUUUGUACUUUGUGACUACUUCCUAAAUAUUUGAUAAUGCUUCCCAGUCAUAAGGUUUAACUCUAAAUAGGCGUCUCUCCUCUUGGCCACAAAGAUUAGGUUUAAGUAAUUGUCUGAAUAUUGUUUAUAAGGAUUAUUUCACCAUGUGAAGAAUGAAACUUGAUUUAUUGUAAUUCUUGCCAUGAAAACUGAAACAACAAUGAGAGUCCAAAGCCAUCAGUCAGUCGCCAGAAGAAAAUGUUUCCAUUGGACGUUUCUGCAAACCACAAACACAUUACAUUUACACGCUUCAUACGUGUCAUAUCAGCGUUUCUGAAGUGAUGUAAUAUAUGAGAUGACUUUGUCAGUGGGAGGUGGGGUGAUGCUGGAUGGCAUGUCACCUAUACAAGAUGCCUGCCAAGCUGCAGACCACUGUUUGAGACCUACAAACAACAAAGCUGGUUGUGUUUAAGUGAAACAAAAGUUGGUGUGUUACGGGUGGCUUUUUAGGCACCUACUGCUGAAACAUAAUGUUUCAACAUAUCCGCUUCGUAAUAACAUACAAAUGUGGAGUAUCUGUGGUUUGCAGAAACGUGCAAUUCUACCAUUUACUCUGGUGAUCAGGGUGCAGUCAUGCUGUACGUAGGGCUAACUGUACGUUUGAGCUCAAUGCUAACACCAGCAUGCUAACAUGUUUAUAUAACUAGGUUAAUGUGCUGAUAUUUAGUAGGUGUAUUGUUUACCCUAUGAAACCAUCUCAUUUGGAAAUAUAAAAAAUGUAUGAAACCUCUGUAUGAGAACAUAUUUUUGCAUUUAUUGCCUAUUGUUUUUGGGGUUUUUUUCAGUUUUGUCCCUUAUGUUAUUUUUUGUUUUAAUAAUUUUAAUUUGUUUCACCUGUCAUGUUUUUAUCCAGGUCAUGUGAUUACCUCCCACUUGCUGUUGCUAUAUACUGUAUAGUAUGUUGCUAGGUGAGGCCACACCUGUGUUGUGUGUUUAUUAAAUAAGGCUUUUUAAGAUUUCGUGUGUGGUUGUUAGUUUAGCAGGUUAGCAUGCUAACAUUUACUAAUUAGCACUUAACACAAAGUACAAUCUAAUUAUUUUUGCAAGUAUUUGGUCAUAAACCAAAGUGUCAGACAAACUGGAAAUUUUGACCAGAUGAUGGCGUUUGAUGAGACAUUAAAAGGACAGUUCACCCCAAAAUCAAGAAAUAUAUAAAUUUCCUUUCACCUGUGGUGCUGUUUGUCAGUCUAGAUUGUUUUGGCGUGAGAUGUCGCGUGUUGGCAAUAUUGGCUUUAUUUGUCUGCCUUCUCUCAAAUAUAAUGGAGCUAUGGCACUUGGCUUGAGGCACUCAAAGCCGCAAAAAAUACAUUUGAAAAACUCACCAGCAGUGUCUCUUUCCAGGAAUCAUGACCCUGCUAUUCAAAAUGAUUCACAGACCUUGUUUUGAGCAGUUUCGUGAGCAGUAAACAUUAUUGCCGUCCUCAUCAGCUGAGCUGUAACCUUAGCUAGCUAAAUAAUGCUAGGUGAGCUAGCAGUAGAUGCACACUUCCUACAGUUGGUGGGCGUAGUUCAGUAGAAAGAAAAUAGUCCCACAUGAAACUCUCCACAACAAGGUCAGUAGGUUAUCCUGGUUAACCCGGUCAUGAUUUCUAGAAAGAGACACUGGCGUUGAGUUUUUCAAAUGUUUUUUUUCCCACUUUCAUUAUAUUUGAGAGAAGGCAGACAUCUCUACGGCCGAAAUUUCCAACACUCUGCAACUGACAUCAAAACAAUCUCGGGUGAUAAUUAGAUAAAGGUAAGAGGAAAAAUAUGAAUUUUGGAGUGAACUAUCCCUUUAAGGGAUCACCAAAGUAGGCCUACAAUUCACCUUCAGGGGAACUUGAAUAUCUGAACCAACAGCUGUUUUGUCCAAAUACAAAAAUGAUGGUCGACGUCAUGGUAGCUCUGUCAGGAGAGUCAUUAAUGUCUGUGAGCUUCACCCUCUGGAGUUCAUAAAUGUCAAAUCAAAAUUAAACGGUAAUCAAUCAAGAAGUUGUUGAGUUAUUUCAGAUUUCUAAAAACAUCAGGUUAUUAACAUGUGCAACUAUGAGUGUGUAUGUGUACAUGUUUGCAUCUGUGCAUGUGUUUUACAUCUUGUUUGCGCAGAUAUAUACACUGCAUGUGUGUGUCCCAGGCGCACUGCCCUGCCACCUGUCUGGCCAUCCGCUGCGUCCCUUCCUUUGAUGCAGGGCGGCGGUGUGUCAUCCAGAUGUGGCGGCAGAGGUUUGAAGAGUUCAGUUAGUCCCUGGGGAUUUUCCCCCUAAGCCCCUCGCACAAGCAGGGCCGCUGGGAAGACCCAUACAGCUCACAUAUGUGUGUUUUUCUGCCUACCUCCCUCCAUUGUCAUAGACUCUGUCUUCUCACUUCCACUUCAGCUACUUCUUAGUCUUACCUGCUGCUUCAUCUUUCUCCUUCUUCUCCUCUUUUUGACAUUUGUCCUUUGAUUUUCAACAUCCU